UACGUAGGUGGCAAGCGUUGUCCGGAUUUACUGGGCGUAAAGAGCGCGCAGGCGGUCGUUCAAGUCGCGUGUGAAAGCCCCCGGCUCAACUGGGGAGGGUCACGCGAUACUGAUCGACUCGAAGGCAGGAGCGGGUAGUGGAAUUCCCGGUGUAGUGGUGAAAUGCGUAGAUAUCGGGAGGAACACCAGUGGCGAAGGCGACUACCUGGCCUGUUCUUGACGCUGAGGCGCGAAAGCUAGGGGAGCAAACGGG
rnacentral:rRNA from 1 species